rnacentral:tRNA from 1 species
GGCCCCAUCGUCUAGUGGUUAGGACACCAGGUUUUCAUCCUGGUAACGGGGGUUCGAUUCCCCCUGGGGUCA